AUUGAACGCUGGCGGCAGGCCUAACACCUGCAAGUCGAACGAGUGGCGGACGGUUGAGUAAUUUCUGGGAAACUGCCUGAUGGAGGGGGAUAACUACUGGAAACGGUAGCUAAUACCGCAUACCAUCGGAUGUGCCCCGAUGGGAUUAGCUAGUAGGUGGGGUAAAGGGUCACCUAGGCGACGCUCCCUAGCUGGUCUGAGAGGAUGACAAGCCAAACUGGAACUGAGACACGGUCCAGACUCUUACGGGAGUCAGCAGUGGGGAAUAGUGCACAAUGGGCGAAAGCCUGAUGCAGCCAGGCCGCGUGUAUGAAGAAGGCCUUCUGGUUGUAAAGUACUUUCAGCGGGGAGGAGUUAGCCGCAGAAGAAGCACCGGCUAACCCCGUGCCAGUAGCCGUGGUAAUUC
rnacentral:rRNA from 1 species